rnacentral:misc_RNA from 1 species
GAUGAAGAACGUAGCGAAAUGCGAUAAGUAAUGUGAAUUGCAGAAUUCAGUGAAUCAUCGAAUCUUUGAACGCUCAUUGCGCCCCUUGGUAUUCCGGGGGGCAUGCCUGUUCGAGCGUCAUUAUAACCCCUCAAGCUCAGCUUGGUGUUGGGGCCUGCCAACUGGCAGCCCUUAAAAUCAGUGGCGGCGCCAUCUGGCUCUAAGCGUAGUAAUUUCUCUCGCUAUAGGGUCCAGGUGGAUGCUGGCCAGCAACCCCCAAUUUUCUAUGGUUGACCUCGGAUCAGGUAGGGAUACCCGCUGAACUUAAGCAUAUCAAUAAGCGGAGGA